UACGUAGGGCGCAAGCGUUAUCCGGAAUUAUUGGGCGUAAAGAGCGUGUAGGCGGCUAGGUAGGUCCGUUGUGAAAACUCGAGCUCAACCUCGAGACGCCGGUGGAAACCAUCUAGCUAGAGUCCGGAAGAGGAGAGUGGAAUUCCUGGUGUAGCGGUGAAAUUCGUAGAUAUCAGGAGGAACACCGGUGGCGAAGGCGGGUCUCUGGGCCGAUACUGACGGCUGAGGAGCGAAAGCGUGGGGAGCGAACAGG
rnacentral:rRNA from 1 species